GUUUUUGUAGCUCAGUUGGUUAGAGCAUCAAUUUUGUAAGCGGGAGGUCUUGAGUUCGACUAUUAAUAAGAGCA
rnacentral:tRNA from 1 species